AUUAACAGAUACACAUGGCUAUAUAUGAAAUAGAAAAACAACAAGGACCUACUGUAGACCACAGGGAAUUAUAUUCAACUUUUUGUAA